CAGCAAUUGCAGACUGGCAUGCCCCAGCCAUCUCUGGGGAAGUAUCUUUUUGAGCAGCUCACUCUCAAACAUGACUAGGAGG
rnacentral:pre_miRNA from 1 species